rnacentral:rRNA from 1 species
UAAGUCAGGGGUGAAAUCCCCACAGCUCAACUGUGGAACUGCCUUUGAUACUGUCAGUCUAGAGUAUAGUUGAAGUUGGCGGAAUGUGUCAUGUAGCGGUGAAAUGCUUAGAUAUGACACAGAACACCGAUCGCGAAGGCAGCUAGCUAAGCUAUAACUGACGCUCAUGCACGAAAGCGUGGGGAUCAAACAGGAUUAGAUACCCUGGUAGUCCACGCUGUAAACGAUGAUUACUCGAUGUUGGCGAUACACAGUCAGCGUCUGAGCGAAAGCAAUAAGUAAUCCACCUGGGGAGUACGAUCGCAAGAUUGAAACUCAAAGGAAUUGACGGGGGCCCGCACAAGCGGAGGAGCAUGUGGUUUAAUUCGAUGAUACGCGAGGAACCUUACCUGGGCUCGAACGUAAGAUGACUGUAGGUGAAAGCUUACAUCUCUUCGGAGCAUUUUACGAGGUGCUGCAUGGUUGUCGUCAGCUCGUGCCGUGAGGUGUCGGGUUAAGUCCCAUAACGAGCGCAACCCCUACCUUUAGUUGCCAUCAGGUCAUGCUGGGGACUCUAAAGGAACUGCCUACGCAAGUAGUGAGGAAGGCGGGGAUGACGUCAAAUCAGCACGGCCCUUACGUCCAGGGCUACACACGUGCUACAAUGGCCGAUACAGAGGGCAGCUACCUGGUGACAGGAUGCAAAUCUCCAAAGUCGGUCUCAGUUCGGAUCGGAGUCUGCAACCCGACUCCGUGAAGUUGGAUUCGCUAGUAAUCGCGCAUCAGCCAUGGCGCGGUGAGUACGUUCCCGGGCCUUGUACACACCGCCCGUCAAGCCAUGGAAGCUGGGGGGACCUAAAGUCGAUAACCGCAAGGAGUCGCCCAGGGUAAAACCAGUGACUGGGGCUAAGUCGUAACAAGGUAGCCG